rnacentral:rRNA from 1 species
UCGGGAAUUUUGGGCAAUGGGGGAAACCCUGACCCAGCAACGCCGCGUGAGGGAUGAAGGCCUUCGGGUCGUAAACCUCUGUCGGGAGGGAAGAACGGCCUCCGGUCCAACAAGCCGGGGGUGUGACGGUACCUCCAAAGGAAGCACCGGCUAACUCCGUGCCAGCAGCCGCGGUAAUACGGAGGGUGCAAGCGUUGUUCGGAAUUACUGGGCGUAAAGCGCGUGUAGGCGGCUUGGCAAGUCGGAUGUGAAAGCCCGGGGCUCAACCCCGGAACUGCAUUCGAAACUGCCUCGCUCGAGUCCCGGAGAGGGUGGUGGAAUUCCCAGUGUAGAGGUGAAAUUCGUAGAUAUUGGGAGGAACAUCAGUGGCGAAGGCGGCCACCUGGACGGUGACUGACGCUGAGACGCGAAAGCGUGGGGAGCAAACAGGAUUAGAUACCCCCGUAGUCC